GUAAGAACGCUAAGAAUGGUGUUGAUAUUGUUCUACACAAUCUGUAAACGAAUUUGUUAGAACUAACAAGAUGGAUAUCUCUCUCUAAUAUAUGAGUUUGAUAAGGACAACAUGUUUAUUUUGACUACCCGUUCAAGUUAGAAUGCAGAGGUUCAAAUUGCGGAUCAGGAUAUUUAAAUGUUAAUAUUUUUUUCUUUAAAGGAAUUUUUAGCGUUCAAUCCUUUAUCUUAGGAAUACAUGUCGAACGGUUAAUUUUGAUCUCUCUCUAGGUGUGUCUUAUUGCCGUUACAUCGGUCUACAGUGAGCAAGCAAACUGCACUUGUGUUUAUGCAUGCUCUUGUGCAAUAUAUCUCUUGCGCAGUUGGCUCUCGAUCAGGUUAUCAUAUCUGUUAGUUCUGCCAAAUCAAUUUAGUUAAGAUGUUAUUCUUAUCAGCACCAAUAAUAUAUUUUAAGCGCACGCUUUUUUAUGUGAUGAUUGUGCAAUUUUUUUUAUUAAGUAUAUUAAUUUAGCAGUUUAUGUAAUUUUCAAUAACAAAGUUGAUUCAAUAUGAAAUGUUAGAUUUAUAUAAAUAAACUUUCUUGCAUAUUUAUAAGCUAUCAUGAAAUGACGCUAUUACUGUUAAAAAAAAUAAUGUAGUUAGGAUUUUUAAAAUCAAUAAAUAUCUUGUUUGUAUCA